CAUACAAGCAUUGCCGAUGAUGUGGUCC
rnacentral:sRNA from 1 species